AGAGUUUGAUUCUGGCUCAGAACGAACGCUGGCAGCGUGGAUUAGGCAUGCGAGUCGAACGAGAAGCCGCUGUUUCAAUCUUCGGAGAGAGACGGUGGUGGAAAGUGGCGAAAGGGUGAGUAACGCGUGGGUAACCUGCCUCCGAGUUUGGGACAACUCCUCGAAAGGGGGGCUAAUACCGGAUACGGUGCUCCGUCGCAUGACGGGGACAUUAAAGAUGGGGAUUCUUCGGAACCUGUCGCUGGGAGAUGGACCCGCGUACCAUCAGCUUGUUGGUGGUAACGGCCUACCAAGGCUUACGGUUAGCUGGUCUGAGAGGAUGGUCAGCCACACUGGGACUGAGACACUGCCCAGACUCCUACGGGAGGCUGCAGUCGAGGAUCAUUCGCAAUGCGCGAAAGCGUGACGAUGCGACGCUGCGUGGAGGAUGAAGGCCUUCGGGUUGUAAACUCCUGUCAUGAGGGAAAAGACAGCGGGCCGCUAAUACCGGUUCGCCUCGAUGGUACCUCAAGAGGAAGCCACGGCUAACUCUGUGCCAGCAGCCGCGGUAAUACAGAGGUGGCGAGCGUUGUUCGGAUUUACUGGGCGUAAAGCGUGCGUAGGUGGUUUCGUGUGUCGGGUGUGAAAUCCCACGGCUUAACCGUGGAACUGCAUCCGAAACUGCGGGACUUGAGUGCAGGAGGGGAGAGCGGAAUUCUUGGUGUAGCGGUGAAAUGCGUUGAUAUCAAGAAGAACACCGGUGGCGAAGGCGGCUCUCUGGAAUGCUACUGACACUGAGGCACGAAAGCUGGGGGAGCAAACAGGAUUAGAUACCCUGGUAGUCCCAGCUGUAAACGGUGCACACUUGGUGUGGGGGGUAUUGACCCCCCCCGUGCCGGAGCUAACGCGUUAAGUGUGCCGCCUGGGGAGUACGGCCGCAAGGCUAAAACUCAAAGAAAUUGACGGGGGCCCGCACAAGCGGAGGAGCAUGUGGCUUAAUUCGAUGCAACGCGAAGAACCUUACCUGGGCUUGACAUGGUGACCCUUCGGGGGUGGGAGUGAAAGCUCCCUUUACACACACAGGUGCUGCAUGGCUGUCGUCAGUUCGUGCCGUGAGGUGUUGGGUUAAGUCCCGCAACGAACGCAACCCUUGUGUUUAGUUGCCACCGCAGGUGAUGAGCCUGCGAGCACUCUAGACAGACUGCCCGUACAAGCGGGAGGAAGGUGGGGAUGACGUCAAGUCAGUAUGGCCCUUACGCCCAGGGCUGCACACGUGCUACAAUGGUCGGUACAAUGGGAAGCAAGACCGCGAGGUGGAGCAAAUCCUAAAAACCGGCGUAAGUUCGGAUUGGAGUCUGAAACUCGACUCCAUGAAGUCGGAUUCGCUAGUAACGGCGUAUCAGCUACGACGCCGUGAAUACGUUCCCGGGCCUUGUACACACCGCCCGUCACAUCAUGAAAGCCGUCUGCACCCGAAGUCGCUGAGCCAACCCGCAAGGGAGGCAGGUGCCGAAGGUGUGGGUGGUGAUU
rnacentral:rRNA from 1 species